rnacentral:sRNA from 1 species
UUUGGUGAAGUAAAGCAUUUUCCAUCUGUUUGAUCUCUAUAAAGUAAGCUGAACGCAUUUCACAGUAACCCAUUCGAAAUAUCUGCACUUAAAAGUCCAGUAUACAUAGACACAUACAAAGAAAGUGUAGCACAGUUGAGAGGCAGACUCGAUUGGUUAAUUUUCACCAUGAAGUUUCUCUACAUCUUAAGUCUACUCCUCCUGGCAGUCUGUUCAGUGCUGGCUGACAAGUCUGAUCUGAGGGAAGUCUUGACAUACAAGGACUGUCUUGAGUUUUGUGGUGAUGACAUUCCCUGUGAAAUGGCCUGCAGUCUUCACUAUCCAAGU